rnacentral:rRNA from 1 species
UACGUAGGGGGCAAGCGUUGUCCGGAAUCAUUGGGCGUAAAGAGCGUGUAGGCGGCCCGGUAAGUCCGCUGUGAAAGCCCCGGGCUCAACCUGGGAAUUGCAUUCGAGACUGAAUAGCUUAGGGUGCGGUAGAGGGAAGCGGAAUUUCCGGUGUAGCGGUGAAAUGCGUAGAUAUCGGAAGGAACAUCAGUGGCGAAAGCGGCUUCCUGGACCAGCACCGACGUUCAGGCACGAAGCGUGGGGAGCAA